CGGAGGGUGCAAGCGUUAUCCGGAUUCACUGGGUUUAAAGGGUGCGUAGGCGGGCAGGUAAGUCAGUGGUGAAAUCUCAGAGCUUAACUCUGAAACUGCCAUUGAUACUAUCUGUCUUGAAUUCUCGUGGAGGUGAGCGGAAUAUGUCAUGUAGCGGUGAAAUGCUUAGAUAUGACAUAGAACACCCAUUGCGAAGGCAGCUCACUACGGAGUCAUUGACGCUGAGGCACGAAAGCGUGAGGAUCAAACAGGAUUAGAUACCCUGGUAGUUCACGCCCUAAACGAUGGAUACUCGACAUACGCGAUACACAGUGUGUGUCUGAGCGAAAGCAUUAAGUAUCCCACCUGGGAAGUACGACCGCAAGGUUG
rnacentral:rRNA from 1 species